rnacentral:rRNA from 1 species
UACGUAGGGCGCAAGCGUUAUCCGGAAUUAUUGGGCGUAAAGAGCUCGUAGGCGGUUUGUCGCGUCUGCCGUGAAAGUCCGGGGCUCAACCCCGGAUCUGCGGUGGGUACGGGCAGACUAGAGUGAUGUAGGGGAGACUGGAAUUCCUGGUGUAGCGGUGGAAUGCGUAGAGAUCGGGAGGAACACCCGUGGCGAAGGCGGUGGCCUGGACCUGUGCUGACGCUGAGGCGCGAAAGCGUGGGGAGCGAUCCGG